rnacentral:rRNA from 1 species
UUCCUACGGGAGGCAGCAGUGGGGAAUAUUGGGCAAUGGGCGCAAGCCUGACCCAGCAACGCCGCGUGAGUGAAGAAGUAUUUCGGUAUGUAAAGCUCUAUCAGCAGGGAAGAAAAUGACGGUACCUGAUUAAGAAGCCCCGGCUAACUACGUGCCAGCAGCCGCGGUAAUACGUAGGGGGCAAGCGUUAUCCGGAUUUACUGGGUGUAAAGGGAGCGUAGACGGCAGCACAAGUCUGGAGUGAAAUGCCGGGGCUUAACCCCGGAACUGCUUUGGAAACUGUGCAGCUAGAGUGCAGGAGAGGG